rnacentral:rRNA from 1 species
UACAGAGGGUGCAAGCGUUGUUCGGAAUCAUUGGGCGUAAAGCGCACGUAGGCGGUUUUGCAAGUUGGAUGUGAAAGCCCGGAGCUUAACUUCGGAAGUGCAUCCAAAACUGCAUAACUUGAGUCCCGGAGAGGAUAGUGGAAUUCCCGGUGUAGAGGUGAAAUUCGUAGAUAUCGGGAGGAACACCAGUGGCGAAGGCGACUAUCUGGACGGAGACUGACGCUGAGGUGCGAAAGCGUGGGGAGCAAACAGG